AGAGGGCAGAGAGUUGGGAGUGAAGAAAAUAACUUAGUGGCGAACGGGUGAGUAACGCGUGAGUAACCUGCCCUGGAGUGGGGGACAACAGUUGGAAACGACUGCUAAUACCGCAUAAGCCCACGGAUCCGCAUGGAUCUGCGGGAAAAGGAUUUAUUCGCUUCAGGAUGGACUCGCGUCCAAUUAGCUAGUUGGUGAGGUAACGGCCCACCAAGGCGACGAUUGGUAGCCGGACUGAGAGGUUGAACGGCCACAUUGGGACUGAGACACGGCCCAGACUCCUACGGGAGGCAGCAGUGGGGGAUAUUGCACAAUGGGGGAAACCCUGAUGCAGCGACGCCGCGUGGAGGAAGAAGGUUUUCGGAUUGUAAACUCCUGUCGUUAGGGACGAUAAUGACGGUACCUAACAAGAAAGCACCGGCUAACUACGUGCCAGCAGCCGCGGUAAAACGUAGGGUGCAAGCGUUGUCCGGAAUUACUGGGUGUAAAGGGAGCGCAGGCGGACCGGCAAGUUGGAAGUGAAAACUAUGGGCUCAACCCAUAAAUUGCUUUCAAAACUGCUGGCCUUGAGUAGUGCAGAGGUAGGUGGAAUUCCCGGUGUAGCGGUGGAAUGCGUAGAUAUCG
rnacentral:rRNA from 1 species